AUCUCUUGGUUCCAGCAUCGAUGAAGAACGCAGCGAAAUGCGAUAACUAAUGUGAAUUGCAGAAUUCAGUGAAUCAUCGAGUCUUUGAACGCACAUUGCGCCCCUCGGUAUUCCGGGGGGCAUGCNUGUUCGAG
rnacentral:rRNA from 1 species